CCACGGACCGGUAGCUGGUGGAGAAGGUGGAGCGAGUGGUGAAGCUCAUGCUGCCCGGGGAGGAGAGCGAGAGGGCAGGACUCAGGCUUUGCCGACGACCAGAUGCAGCAACUCUU